GUAGAAGAUAGGUAAGGAACUAUCUUCAAUACAAAUAUUUCAUUACAUAAGGAGGUAAUGA
rnacentral:sRNA from 1 species